rnacentral:rRNA from 1 species
UACGUAGGUGGCAAGCGUUGUCCGGAAUUAUUGGGCGUAAAGCGCGCGCAGGCGGUCUUUUAAGUCUGAUGUGAAAGCCCACGGCUCAACCGUGGAGGGUCAUUGGAAACUGGGUGACUUGAGUGCAGAAGAGAAGAGCGGAAUUCCACGUGUAGCGGUGAAAUGCGUAGAGAUGUGGAGGAACACCAGUGGCGAAGGCGGCUCUUUGGUCUGUAACUGACGCUGAGGCGCGAAAGCGUGGGGAGCGAACAGG